GACGAACGCUGGCGGCGUGCCUAAUACAUGCAAGUUGAGCGAUGAAGCUUGGUGCUUGCACCAAUUUGAAGAGCAGCGAACGGGUGAGUAACGCGUGGGGAAUCUGCCUUUGAGCGGGGGACAACAUUUGGAAACGAAUGCUAAUACCGCAUAACAACUUUAAACAUAAGUUUUAAGUUUGAAAGAUGCAAUUGCUUCACUCAAAGAUGAUCCCGCGUUGUAUUAGCUAGUUGGUGAGGUAAAGGCUCACCAAGGCGAUGAUACAUAGCCGACCUGAGAGGGUGAUCGGCCACAUUGGGACUGAGACACGGCCCAAACUCCUACGGGAGGCAGCAGUAGGGAAUCUUCGGCAAUGGACGAAAGUCUGACCGAGCAACGCCGCGUGAGUGAAGAAGGUUUUCGGAUCGUAAAACUCUGUUGGUAGAGAAGAACGUUGGUGAGAGUGGAAAGCUCAUCAAGUGACGGUAACUACCCAGAAAGGGACGGCUAACUACGUG
rnacentral:rRNA from 1 species